rnacentral:rRNA from 1 species
AUUGAACGCUAGCGGGAUGCUUUACACAUGCAAGUCGAACGCGUGGCGGACGGGUGAGUUAUAUAUCGGAAUGUGCCCAGUAGCGGGGUAUAACUUCUCGAAAGUGUCUCUAAUACCGCAUACUCUUGGAGCGGCCUAUGUCGGAUUAGCUAGUUGGUGGGGUAAAGGCUCACCAAGGCCACGAUCCGUAGCUGGUUUGAGAGGACGACCAGCCACACUGGGACUGAGACACGGCCCAGACUCCGACGGGAGGCAGCAGUGGGGAAUUUUGGACAAUGGGGGAAACCCUGAUCCAGCCAUCCCGCGUGUAUGAGAAGGCCUUCGGGUUGUAAAGUACUUUUGGCAGAGAAGCGGUAUCGGCAGAAGAAGCACCGGCUAACUACGUGCCAGCAGCCGCGGUAAUUC